CCAAUUCGCCUCGUCCCACUCCCGCACCAGCCGUCACACAAACCCUAGCCUUGUUUUCCCUCGAUCCCCACAGCCUCCCGCUCCCCUCCUCCAUCCCCCUCCUUGCGUCACCACGGCCUCCGCUCUGGAGCCCCGCCGCCGCCUCUCCUCCACCCCCUCCUCGCGUCGCCACGGCCUCCGCCCUGGAGUCCCGCCGCCGCCUGCUAUUCCUCCUCCACCAUGCUAGCCCCUCUACCUCGUCUUCCUUCUCUUCGUUGUUUGUUCCAGAUCGAGCGCGGGUUAGGCGAGCCCGGUGGUGGGGUGAAGGGGCAGGGGAAGAGGAGGUGGGCAACUAGGUGAAGGAGCAGGUCGGCCCUCCUGGAGGCAGCGCCGCCGCCCAGCCAGGGAGGAGGCCAGACUCUCCUCUAGGCUCGCCUCUGUUUUGCCCUGAGCGGCGGCAGCGCCUAUGCCUCCACCCCACCUUCUUUUCCAUGCCUCUUCCAUGGCAUGGCAGGCAGAUUUUGGGGAUGGGGAGACCCCAUGAAUAAUAAUUCAAGUGGACGGACGAUGCGCCUUGUUGUUUAGCGGUAUGAUCUAUGAUGGUUGGCGAAAGUAUGUUCUAUAUUGCAAGGUGAUGGGUUGCUGAUUUUUGUAGCCCACUUCUGCUAAUUUCUAUCGACUUCUACUUAAUCUGAUAUCUGUUGUGUAAGUAAUGCACUAAUUCAGUUCAUGACACCAAGUUGGAGCUGUACAAAGUGCUGCUAAAUUAAGGUUCCUGGUUACAACACGCACAAUUUGGUGUCCUGAUAUCCUUUGUGUAUCCUCUUGAAGGAGCAUUGGGUGAGAUUGUUGUUGUGACAAGAAUUGGUACUAGGCUGGGUGAUACAACAAUGGAUUUCAUCCAAGGAAUAACCAAAUGGCGCAGAGACCCGCUAAAGACAUCUCCAGUUGUUGAAUCAACUAUUGUCCCAUGUUGUUUGGAUCAUCUAUCGUGCCGCACUGUCUAGCUGAAAUGGACAAAUGACUUAGGAACGACGUAUAAUCGAUUUUUGCUCUUUUUAUCCCUUGAAAGGUGAUAUGCAACAUUAUGAAUUUGCUUCCAUUUGCAGGGAUAGGUGUCCUCCCUCCUCUUGGUGACAUAUAAGAGGACCUGCACACUGAACCGGGAAGUCCUUUUUUAGGCAGUGGUCAUGGAGCAACAAUAUAUGCUGCGUGGCAUUGCAGGUUAUUUUCCGCCCCGGUCGAUCCAGGCACGGCAUCGGAUGGGAGAGAUCAGGGGAGGGCCAAGAGGCCAGCGGUGUGGGGUGGAGCAGCGAGGCCGAACACCGGGCAGCGGACGCCUCACGGGGUGGAGGAGAGGCCGGCGAUAGGGAAAAGCAGCAUCUUCAUGGAUGAGAUCCUGACGGCUGAAGAUGGUGCGCACGGGAGGAGCUUGGAAGAUGUCAAGGUGAGCUUCUCUCAAUCCUUCUCCCCUUCACGCCCCUUGCAAUUUUUUCUUGUUUCAGAUCAUAUGAAAGUGAGUAUAGCCUUGUUGGC